AGGUGGCUUGAUAAGUCAGAUGUGAAAUCCCCGGGCUUAACCUGGGAACUGCAUCUGAUACUGUCAGGCUAGAAUAGGUGAGAGGAAGGUAGAAUUCCAGGUGUAGCGGUGAAAUGCGUAGAGAUCUGGAGGAAUACCGAUGGCGAAGGCAGCCUUCUGGCAUCAUAUUGACACUGAGGUUCGAAAGCGUGGGUAGCAAACAGGAUUAGAUACCCUGGUAGUCCACGCCGUAAACGAUGUCUACUAGUCGUUGGGUCCCUUGAGGACUUAGUGACGCAGCUAACGCAAUAAGUAGACCGCCUGGGGAGUACGGCCGCAAGGUUAAAACUCAAAUGAAUUGACGGGGGCCCGCACAAGCGGUGGAGCAUGUGGUUUAAUUCGAUGCAACGCGAAGAACCUUACCUGGUCUUGACAUAUCUAGAAUCUUGUAGAGAUACGAGAGUGCCUUCGGGAAUUAGAAUACAGGUGCUGCAUGGCUGUCGUCAGCUCGUGUCGUGAGAUGUUGGGUUAAGUCCCGCAACGAGCGCAACCCUUGUCCUUAGUUACCAGCGGGUUAAGCCGGGAACUCUAAGGAUACUGCCAGUGACAAACUGGAGGAAGGCGGGGACGACGUCAAGUCAUCAUGGCCCUUACGACCAGGGCUACACACGUGCUACAAUGGUAGGUACAGAGGGCAGCUACACAGCGAUGUGAUGCGAAUCUUUCAAAGCCUAUCGUAGUCCAGAUUGGAGUCUGCAACUCGACUCCAUGAAGUAGGAAUCGCUAGUAAUCGCGGAUCAGAAUGCCGCGGUGAAUACGUUCCCGGGCCUU
rnacentral:rRNA from 1 species